UCUGUUAUAUUCCUUAUCUCUUCAUCUCUCCCUCUCAUCUUUCUUUCUCCCUCUAGACCACCAUCAACACAAAAAGGCUCAAAGCUCGCAACGAAACAGAGACACCGAGCAGAAAGAAAUAGAUAUAUAUAUAGAGAGAGAAAAUAAAGAAAUUGUGUAAAGACGAUGACAGAAGUUCGAUUAAACAUCGACGAUCAGUUUAUAUAUUCAGCAUCAGAGGUUAUAUGCUGCAGAAUUUGUGACGAAGCAGAGUUCGAAAGCUGUAAAUCAUGAGAAACUCCAUGUUCAUGUUCAGGAACCGUAAAGGUUUGGUGCUCCUGCCAUGGGAAAAGUUGUUUUUUUGAUACAUGUUAUGCAUUUAUCGUCUGCUAAAAGGAAAAUUCAAAUUUCUCAUGACAACUACAACUAAAAGCUUGGCGGUAAUGAUGUGAAACAUUUAAUGGAGUGGGUUGUACUUGUUGGAACUAGACCAAAGGCGAGUCCUAUGAAUGAGUGGCGGCCACCAUGGCGCUUAACUACGAUUUCUCCGAACGUCACCAAACGAACCGAGUGGCGUCCACCGUGGGACGUUCGUUCGUGUUUAUCCCGAUUUUCACCUUGAGGACAAGGUGAAUUCGAGCGGGGUGGAAUGAUACGUACCCGCAAUGUUAUACAUGGAUCUCAUUCAUAUAACUCCAUGUGACUAGCACAUGUUAUUUAAUUGUCAUGUUUUAUUAUUUUAUAUUUGUUUUGCAAUUCGUAGUACUAGUUGAUGAUCCAUGAUCUUAAGAUAGAGGAGUAGUGGGUAUCCAUGAUCCCCUCAUUCCAUGGAUAGUCACUUAUUUGGUUCCAUGUAAUUCCUAUUUAAGUGGUUUUGUUUUGAUAAUGAGAUAUGCAGAAGAAAUUAUCUAAAAGUUCCAUCUAUUUUCAAA